CCUUCGAUGUCGGCUCUUCC
rnacentral:ncRNA from 3 species